rnacentral:lncRNA from 1 species
AGUCUGUUUGGAUGAAUUGAAGUUUUUACUGCGGAGAAAGUCAGGCUCUGUUUAUACUGAUCCCAUCGACUGUUUCGAAGAACUGGACAGAAUCAGAAACAACAGCCUGUCAGCCGCUGAAGACCGACGAUGGGGAAUCGGCGGACGCGUGGGCGGCCAGCGGGACCCGCAGCGGCUGCAUCAAAAAGAGCCGGCGAAAACGCCACAGCCACCGCCACAGAACCAGGAACCCCUCUUUCGAUGAGCUUUUGUCCCCCCGGAAAGGGAAAAAGAAAAAGCGAAAGUCUGAACGGAGGCGGAGGAAAAGAAAUAGGUCUCCGUCACACAGCCUGUCACCUCUGAGGAAGAAGAAAAAGAAGAAGAAGAAGAGCUCCAAGAAAAGCAAACGACACAGGUAGAUCAUAAAAAAAAGGACACAAACACGGUCGCCAGCAUUCACUUUAUCUGAUCAAAUCUGUUGUUUCACAUUUCAGAUGCUUUCAAAGAAGUCGAAACACAGGUAAAGGAUUUCUUAGUGCUGCUGCUUCUGCGCUCGCCGCUGCGUGCAUGUCUGCAGCGCCGACACUUCGGAUCAGAGGAGCAGCUUUGUUGGUAUCAAAGCCAACACCUCACCAUUCUGUCCUCUUUCAUCCCGCAGCUCUUCAAGUUUAAAGCAUAAGAGGAGGGAUGAACGGAAGCACAAGAAAAGGUCAGUCUGUUGCAUCACCCACCACCUGCAGAACUCACAAGAAAAGAGGGGAUUUUCAGGAAUGUCAUCAUGCAGAGGAUCACUGGGUGAAGUGGAAAUAUGC